rnacentral:rRNA from 1 species
AGCGAACGCUGGCGGCAGGCCUAACACAUGCAAGUCGAGCGCCUAGCAAUGGGAGCGGCAGACGGGUGAGUAACGCGUGGGGAUGUGCCCAAUGGUGCGGAAUAACCCAGGGAAACUUGGAUUAAUACCGCAUGUGCCACUCGGGGUAAAGAAUUAUCGCCCUUGGAUCAACCCGCGUCUGAUUAGCUAGUUGGUGAGGUAAAGGCUCACCAAGGCGACGAUCAGUAGCUGGUCUGAGAGGAUGAUCGGCCACACUGGGACUGAGACACGGCCCAGACUCCUACGGGAGGCAGCAGUGGGGAAUAUUGGACAAUGGGCGCAAGCCUGAUCCAGCCAUGCCGCGUGAAUGAUGAAGGCCUUAGGGUUGUAAAGCUCUUUCGCCGGUGAAGAUAAUGACGGUAACCGGAGAAGAAGCCCCGGCUAACUUCGUGCCAGCCGCCGCGGUAA